AAGAGACAGCAGUAGCCGCGGGAAUACGUAGGUGGCAAGCGUUGUCCGGAAUUAUUGGGCGUAAAGGGCUCGCAGGCGGUUUCUUAAGUCUGAUGUGAAAGCCCCCGGCUCAACCGGGGAGGGUCAUUGGAAACUGGGAAACUUGAGUGCAGAAGAGGAGAGUGGAAUUCCACGUGUAGCGGUGAAAUGCGUAGAGAUGUGAAGGAACAUCUGUGGCGAAGGCGGCAACCUGGUCCAUAAUUGACGCUGAGGCGCGAAAGCGUGGGGAGCAAACAGGAUUAGAUACCCCUGUAGUCCCUGUCUCUUAUAC
rnacentral:rRNA from 1 species